GGCACUGCCAGGGCAAAGCUGUGGAGGUGGGAAAGAGCAAGAAAAGUUCCAGAGACAGUGAGGGAACCAGCUUGGAUUGCAGAGGUCAGCUGAGAUGUUAUCUCCCCCAGAGAUUCUUACCAGAUGGCCAAGCCCAGAGAAUAUUCUGAAUCCCCCAGAGGGUUUCUUAAAAUGCAGUUUCCAGGGCCUCACCCUAGAACUAAUAACUCAGCCUCACAGAGCCGGGGGUUGGGGGGCAGGGAAGCUGCAUCAACGUGAUGCGAUGUGACAAGGCUCUGGACCACAGGGUGAUUCAGCCCCAUAUCAGCGCUCAGGAAUUCCCAGGCCAGUGGGGAGCGGGGGCGGGGGCGGGGACAAACAGGGAAGCGCACAGUAAGGGAGAAUGUGGGGACUCAGAGCAGGAGCCUUUGGAGUCAGAGAAGUUUUCCAGAAGGGACAUCUAAGCAGAGCCCGGCUAGGCAAAGUGAACUGCCAUGGCGAGGGCCUGGAGACUUCCAGAAGCAUGAUAACUGCUCUUAAUUGUUCAACCCUCACCAGGAGGUAAGGCCUGUGAGGUGGGUGCUAUUAGGGUCCCCAUUCUACAGAUGAGGAAACUGAAGCCCAGGAAGUCUCCUGGCUCGCCAGCAGGGCAGCUGGAGGUUGCUGACCUCUGAGGGAGGCCCCAGCCAAGGCGGGAGCUAAGUGGGCGCCCCCUCCUCUCCCCUCUCAGGCCCAGUACCGCCGAGGCCUGGAGCUGUCCAAGCAGGCCGCUCAGCUGGGAGCUACAGCCGGAGGGGCUGGAGAGGCAGAAGGUGCAGAGUUCCCAGAGCUGGCAGCCUUUGCCUCUACCCAGCGGGUCUUCCAGGCAAAGCUGACCCACUUUUACAUGGCGGCCGAGCGGCAACGCACUGACCUUGAGACGCUGCUCCACCUGCACCGCUUCUGCAAGAGGUCUCGUAACAGGAAAAAAACAGUGGGAAGGGGAAGAGCUGAGAUUUGAGCAUAGAUGUCCCCGUGGUGCCCCGUGACAUGCCUUAUGUGCUUCCCCAAAGAGAGAAGAAAUGACGACAGAUCCCUUCACCAAGCAGGCUUGACCAUGAUGACCUGGUUCCACAUGGACUGUCAGGACCUGAUGGCCCAGCUCAGGCUGGACAAGACCUCAAGGGUCAGUCCUGGGGACCAGCGCCGCCUCCACCGCUACCUGCAGCGACUGGCAUCUGAGUUCCCUGCUGAGAAGCUCGCAGCCGUGGGGCUGCAGGUGGCCUCCCUGAGCCAGGCAGGCCUGGGCCAGGAGCUGUGGGAGGAGGCCCGGAUCAGGCAUGAGGAGAUCCGGAUGCUCCUGGAGAAGGCACUGACCCACAGCUCUUGCCCAGAGGCUCCAGCUGCUCACUCGGCAUGCCCAGAACGAAGAGGGGUGGCGGCCAAGGGCCAAGGUCUGAGUGUAGAGGUCACUUCCAAGGGGAGGUGGGACCAGCUUCCACUAGACUCACUGGGCAUGGACCAUUUGCCAAAGUCCUAUUGGCCUCCUGGGCCCCCCAGAGGGGAACAGAACAGAACUUUCCAGGCAGGCUCUCCACCCCAGGAAGCUGGCCGGGCUGCAGAGGCUGAAGACGGCAAAGGCUCCCACAAGCUCCCUGACCCUGCCUGCGAGCAUUUGCUUGCCACUACCUUCUUCCGGCAGCAGCCCCCCAGGCAGAGCCAAGUCCCUCGCCUCACUGGGGGCAGCUUCUCCUCAGAGGGGACAGACUCGCAGACAUCCCUUGAGGACUCACCCCAGACAAGUCCCCUUGCCUCCCUCUAGCUGAGAGCCCCCUUCAGUGGCACCAGCCUCCAGGAGCACUGGGAUGGGGCCCAGCUGGAGGGGUAGCUGGGAGCUCUGGUCAGUCCCAGUGAGACGUCGCCAUGGAGCACUGGUUUUACGUUCUGCCUCUGCUGGGAGGAUGGGAACUGUUGACCUGCCCCCUGGCUCCAGAAAACUCCUGGAAGACCCGAUCCUCACCCAUGCAGAAUAGCGAGAGUGGGUGUCAGAACCAGGGCACAAUGAAGGGUGUGAUUGGCUCCAUCCCUCCAGGCUCUCAUUGUGGAAAGACCUGUCAGCACAGACCCCUCCAGAGGUCUCCCUCGCAGGCAGGCAGACACCCACCUGCAGCUCAGGAACAUACACAGCUCUCCCCUCGGGCACGAGGGCCAGUGUUGCCCUUAUACAGAAUCCUUGGGGAGAUUCGGGAGUGCUUCCUUGUCUUGGAUUCCAGGAAAAUGGACCCUGAGAUGAGGAUUUAAGGAUCAGUGUGUUUGGUGCUGAUCCAGGAACCUCAGCUGGGGGAGUAGGAGGUGAAUCUGCAAAGGGAAUAAAGAGUAUGUUGUCAAGCAAA
rnacentral:sRNA from 1 species